rnacentral:rRNA from 1 species
CCUACGGGAGGCUGCAGUAGGGAAUCUUCGGCAAUGGGGGCAACCCUGACCGAGCAACGCCGCGUGAGUGAAGAAGGUUUUCGGAUCGUAAAACUCUGUUGUUAGAGAAGAACGUUAAGUAGAGUGGAAAAUUACUUAAGUGACGGUAUCUAACCAGAAAGGGACGUCUAACUACGUGCCAGCAGCCGUGGUAAUAUGUAUGUCUCAAGUGUUGUUCGGAUUUAUUGGGCGUAAAGCGAUCGCAGGUGGUUUCUUAAGUCUGAUGUCAAAGGCAGUGGCUCAGCCGUUGUGUGCAUUGGAAACUGGGAGACUUGAGUGCAGGAGAGGAGAGUGGAAUUCCAUAUGUAGCGGUGAAAUGCGUAGAUAUAUGGAGGAACACCGGAGGCGAAAGCGGCUCUCUGGCCUGUAACUGACACUGAGGCUCGAAAGCGUGGGGAGCAAACAGGAUUAGAUACCCGGGUAGUC